CUGGUACUCGCUCCGUCCAAAAAAGCUUGUCCCUUAAAUGGAUGUAUCUAGCACAGUGCUAGAUACAUCCAUUUGAGGGACAAACUUUUUUUGACGGAGCGAGUACCCC
rfam:Triticum urartu cultivar G1812 contig6229, whole genome shotgun sequence.